rnacentral:rRNA from 1 species
UACGAAGGGGGCUAGCGUUGCUCGGAAUUACUGGGCGUAAAGGGCGCGUAGGCGGACGUUUAAGUCAGGGGUAAAAUCCCAGGGCUCAACCUUGGAACUGCCUUUGAUACUGGACAUCUAGAGUUCGGGAGAGGUGUGUGGAACGCCGAGUGUAGAGGUGAAAUUCGUAGAUAUUCGGCAGAACACCAGUGGCGAAGGCGACACACUGGCCCGAUACUGACGCUGAUGCGCGAAAGCGUGGGGAGCAAACAGG